rnacentral:misc_RNA from 1 species
CCUUGUGGAGGAGGACGCCGAAGGUGGGGCUAAUGACUGGGGUGAAGUCGUAACAAGGUAGCCGUACCGGAAGGUGCGGCUGGAUCACCUCCUAACAGGGAGACAACAAAAUGUUAAAUAUUAAUUUUGUCACCUUAGGUCGAUCGGUAUCUCAGAUUCUUAAUUAUUUUAAGAAUUUCAUUUCCUAAGUUUUUUCUAGGUCACACCCAUUACUUUUCCUGGGCCAUUAGCUCAGGUGGUUAGAGCGCACCCCUGAUAAGGGUGAGGUCCCUGGUUCAAGUCCAGGAUGGCCCAUAUCUCUAUGUUGGGGGUAUAGCUCAGUUGGUAGAGCGCCUGCUUUGCAAGCAGGAUGUCAGCGGUUCGAGUCCGCUUACCUCCACUGAUUACCACCUCUUCCAUAAAUUUUAAAGAAGGGAAUUGUUAUUAGAUGUGAUUUAGUUCUGAACGAAUCUAGCUUCCUAAUAAAUAUAUUAAGAUGCUGGACUCAUUGAAUUUUAUUCAUUGUUUUCAGAGAACCUUGACAACUGCAUAGAUUAUUUUUAAAGACAAUAAGCAUCUUUAAUGAUGCAGAUUUAUUAUUUGUGCUAAUGCAUUAAUAACAAUUCUAUUGAGCUGAUGCUUCAAUUUUUUGAAGUUAUUGGUCAAGCUACAAAGGGCUCACGGAGGAUACCUAGGCACACAGAGGCGAU